AUCCCAUGAUGUGGACAUAUUCUCAGUAGUUCUUUAAAUCUCUUGCAUGCUUCAUACAAGGAUUCGCCUUUAAAUUGUGUGAAUGAGGUGAUAUCGUUCCUCAUAAU
rnacentral:snoRNA from 1 species